CUUAAGGAAAAUUGUCUCUUGGCCCCAUUCUCUUGGUUCUUUCCUGAUUUUUCUUUCUAUACAUUUAUCCUUCCUUCUUUACCUCAGGGCGAGUGUCAUACUUAAUAUACAAAACUAUGGUCUUCAUUUAUUUAUUUACUUUCUUAGUUUUGAAGUGCCAGUGAUGGAACCCAGGAUCCAGCACAAGCUGAGCAAGAACUCUACCCCUGAGCUACAACCCUAGACCUGUCCCAUGUUUGAAUUAUUGCAAUUCUAGAAGAAAUUAUCCCUUUAUGAAUACAGACUCUGAAUUCUCUUUUGCUCAGUACAUCCACGGGAAUUAAAAAACAGACAAAAGGAAAAAGAUAAUGGUCUAUCUGAUGAAAAGAGCUUAUGAAGAUGCCAUAUUAGGCACAGGGACAGCUUGACUGAAAAUCCUUAGGAACACCCCUGGUAUAUGAGCACUUCUCUGUUCAGGUGGCAUGGGCUUUUCCUUCUUCACAUAGGCCUAAACCUAUAAUGCAGGUUAAACAUCUCUAGGCAUCUGUACUACUCAACUAUUUAUGGAUGCAUAAUAAACCACUCAAAAACUUAAUGGCCUCACAUAUAAUUAUUUAUUAUUUAUCAGGAUUUUGCUGGACUCAGCUGGGCAGUUGUGCUGUGCAUGGAGCUGGCUGGGGCACUCAUAUGACUAUACUUAAUUGCAUAUUUGACUGGGGUUGGAACAUCCAAGAUAGCAUUUAUAUGUCUGCAGAUGGUGCUGACCAUUAACUGAGGAGCUUCAUGUUCCCUUCACAGGGCCCCUAUUCUUCUAGUCAUCUAGACUGAUUUCCUUAAAAGCAUGGAGGAUGAGGUCCAAAAGAGCAAAAAUUGGACUGCUUCUACCACAUUUUGUUGGUUCAACAAGUGAAAAGGCAAGCCCGUAUUUAAAGGGAGUGAAAAUAGGUUCUACUUCAUGAUGAGAGAAACAUGACCAGGUUGAGAUGUGCAUCUUUAAACACUUGACCACAAUAACUGUCCAUGGAUACUUGAGUAACAAGUUCAGUAGACUAGAACAUAUACCUAUACUCCAACUAGGCAAAACUCCAGAGAAAAGAUACCAGAGCUCAGUCUCACAAUGCUAUUCUUCUAUGAGCAUCCUGGAUGGAUAUCUCCAAAUGAGAACAAUGUGCUCUUUUAUGUCUUAAAAAAAUGAAAAAGAAGCUCUCUGAUAUUAGGGCUAAGCCCACAGUUUCCUAUCACCAAAACUUUUGUCUGCCAAAGGAAAAUGUACCAAUAAGACUUGAUACCCAAUGUCAUAAUGCUUUGGAGCAUCAGUGUUUGACAGAUUUCCCCAAUAACUCUCCAGAUGUUUGGAGCACAGUAAGUUCCAGACUCCAGCUCAUUUUUAGCUCCUGGGGACAAAUAGGAAUUUCCUUAUCAUUUUCUGGAAACUUGGGGUAAGCCAAAGAUAACUGUGGCUAAAGGUGCUGUAAAUGGGUUUCUCUCUGCAAGAACCUCACUAGUUCAAGCUCUAUUCCUUUAUUGACAGAGCACUGAGAAUUUAAAAGUGACAGUUGUUUGAGUAAAUUCUAAUAUAAACAUUGCCCCCAUUCUUUUCAUGUAUCAGAUCAUUAACAAUCAACUAAUAAAAGUGGAGGUAUGACUAAAAAGUUUAAAAAGUAUGAAUAGCCAUGGUCCAUCAUGCUGUCAAAUGCUCAGAGUAUGGACCAAAAAAUGUACCCUGAUUAUUGAAAGGGAGAUUUCAAGUAGACAGUAGGAAGACUAUUGCACUCUUAAAUUUUGGAAUGGAAGACCAAGAGCUAUUUGACCUAUUUAGCAGAGUUUUAAGAAUACAUUAGGUAAUAGGUACUAAGUCAUCUUGGCCAAUGACCCUGCAGGAGUUCAGAGGGGAUGUAUUUUCUGACUUUUGCAAAUC
rnacentral:lncRNA from 1 species